rnacentral:lncRNA from 1 species
GGACCACCAAGAUAUCUUGUAUUCAACUUUUCUUGCUUUAGUGAUAUUCUUUAUGUCACCAGCCUGAGCACAGAGGGAAUCAAUGAGGAAAAAGUAGCAGAAAUCCUGCCAGACUCAUUAGGUGAAGGCCCUGAGACAUCCAGCCAUCACUAUGAUUUAACUGACAUCCAUGAGCCUUUCUGCACUGCAACUGCACUGUCAGAUGCACAUGAAGUCAGAUCAUCUCUGGAUGCAGCUCAAAAUGUUCAAGAUUGUAAGGAUGAAGCCCCACUGCUAAAUAUGUCCAGGUAAUUUACAUUGCAAG